rnacentral:rRNA from 1 species
AUUGAACGCUGGCGGCAGGCCUAACACAUGCAAGUCGAACGAGUGGCGGACGGGUGAGUAAUGUCUGGGAAACUGCCUGAUGGAGGGGGAUAACUACUGGAAACGGUAGCUAAUACCGCAUACCAUCAGAUGUGCCCAGAUGGGAUUAGCUAGUUGGUGGGGUAACGGCUCACCAAGGCGACGAUCGCUAGCUGGUCUGAGAGGAUGACCAGCCAAACUGGAACUGAGACACGGUCCAGAAGCCGACGGGAGGCAGCAGUGGGGAAUAUUGCACAAUGGGCGCAAGCCUGAUGCAGUCAUGCCGCGUGUAUGAAGAAGGCCUUCGGGUUGUAAAGUACUUUCAGCGGGGAGGCGUUACCAGAAGAAGAAGCACCGGCUAACUCAGUGCCAGCAGCCGCGGUAAUAC